GUCCACGCCGUAAACGAUGGAUACUAGCUGUUGGGAGCAAUUUCAGUGGCUAAGCGAAAGUGAUAAGUAUCCCACCUGGGGAGUACGUUCGCAAGAAUGAAACUCAAAGGAAUUGACGGGGGCCCCGCACAAGCGGUGGAGCAUGUGGUUUAAUUCGAUGAUACGCGAGGAACCUUACCAAGGCUUAAAUGUAGAUUGACCGGUUUGGAAACAGAUCUUUCGCAAGACAAUUUACAAGGUGCUGCAUGGUUGUCGU
rnacentral:rRNA from 1 species